rnacentral:rRNA from 1 species
GCUUUUGUACACACCGCCCGUCGCUACUACCGAUUGAAUGAUUUAGUGAGGUCUUCGGACUGGUACGCGGCAUCGACUCUGUCGUUGCCGAUGCUACCGGAAAGAUGACCAAACUUGAUCAUUUAGAGGAAGUAAAAGUCUAACAAGGUUUCCGUAGGUGAACCUGCGGAAGGAUCAUUAC